AGGAGCAGACAUGACAGAGCCAAACAAGUUAAAGAUGCAGAUGCACAUGAUUUACUUAACUUGUUUGGCUGUGUCAUGUUGGAUAUCUGCAGUGACUACCACAUCAUAAUCUGCAGCCAACUGCAUAAAGCCAUUCAAACACUCCUUCAAGUAAAUGCAGAGUUGUCUGUUAGGCUUCUUCCGCCUAAUCCCCUUAUCAUAAUCAGACACGACAUCAAGCGACAUCGUACAUUCAAGUUAAAGAUGCAGAGCCAAACAAGUUAAAGAUGCAGAUGCACAUGAUUUACUUAACUUGUUUGGCUGUGUCAUGUCUGCUCCUGGUCGCCCUAACCAUUCUCCAAUGAAACUACUCGAUGGGCUUCGACGCGUGACUCAGUUAUACUUCCUAUCGAUUCAACGUCAUCUUAAUGAGGUUGCUGCUGCUGCAAAGCAGCCCCAGGGUGGUCGUAGAGGUCGACGCCACUGAACUGCUAGAAGAUCAAAGACUGCGAUAUAUGUGAAGCAAACAGCUUACUUAUCGCCUCUGAACUGCUUAUACUUAACUGUUGCCUUUUGAUAUUAAUCAUCUACUAUUUCUGCUGUGUCUUCUACUACUAUGCCGCCUUGUGCUUUCUUCUGUAGUGUUGGUUCUGUAAUGUUGGAUAUAUGUGAAGCAAACAGCUUACUUAUCGUUUUGCUGGUGUUGCUG